UUAAGUCCAUUGGAAAAUGGCGCCAUGGAGGGUGAUAGCCCCGUAAAAGUAUCCCUUUUCCUUUUAUCCAUUCCCUCCAAAGAGUCGAGUUGUUUGGGAAUGCAGCUCUAAGUGGGUGGUAAAUUCCAUCUAAAGCUAAAUAUUGGCGAGAGACCGAUAGCGAACAAGUACAGUGAUGGAAAGAUGAAAAGCACUUUGAAAAGAGAGUGAAAAAGUACGUGAAAUUGUUGAAAGGGAAGGUCUUGCAAGCAGACACAACCUCGGUUGGGCCAGCAUCGGAGUGGGGGGAGACAAAAAAGAAAAGGAAUGUAACUCUUU
rnacentral:rRNA from 1 species